GAGAGGGUAUCAUCGUCUUUUUCUAAAUACUUUAAUUUACUCAUCUCCGCCGAAUGGUUAUAAAUACAUUGAUCAGCCAGCCUGCUUUAUCUGACCAAAAACAAAGAAAGAAACAAACACAUUAACGUAAGUGAAGGGAUGUCUUCUUCGUUUGGCAAUUCAUGGGCCGAUCAGUGGGAUCAUAAUCCAGAUCCGAUGCCGGCGUCGUCUACUUACACCAAGAAAAAAACAGGCGGAGGGAUUGGGAAGACAAAAGAGGUGGCUGCCACCGGCGCUAAGAAGGUCAAACAAGCCACUUCUGUAGGUCUUCGUUGGAUUAAAGACAAGUAUCAUAAAACCACACAAAAACAUUAAUUCAUUCCUUUUUGCUUUUCUUUUCACUAUGUCCAUUUUUAUUUCUUCAUUUUAUGUAUCAUAUUCUGAUUCAUGUAUAAACAACCAAACGGAUAGUUGUGUUUUCCUAUCAUAUUUGAUUUUAAUCUUUUUUUAAACAAGCUUACGUGUGAUCUGGCCAAAUUUAUGAUUACAGCAGAGUCCGGCUCGUGUACAAGAGAAAACUCUUCUACGAAGCAUACGAGAUAUCAUUGAUCUCCCAAGAUCAAUAGCUACAAAUAAAGCAAUGACAUUUUGGUCGUGACACUAUUCAAGACGACCGCACGCGAGAUCACAGUUACUUACAGUUCACGGACGCAAUUCUGGAAUUAAUAGACCAUGUCAGGGAUUUCAGACAAGUAAACAAGUAUUAAGACUCCAUGUUGCCUUUUGAAGGGUUUGCCUGUUAUAUACCGCCUCUUUGCGGCAAUAUAAUGGUCAAAACCUUAGUAGUUAAACUUUCAUUUUGAUGUAUGAAACAAAGACGAUUUUACUUUCAGUUAAUGGUUUGUAAUCGAUACACUUAAACUCGUGUUGUGUUCUUUUGAAAAAUUAUGUUAAUGGCAUUGGAGUAUGUUUUAUUCA